ACGGGUGAGUAACACGUGGGUGAUCUGCCCUGCACUUUGGGAUAAGCCUGGGAAACUGGGUCUAAUACCGAAUAUUCCUUGCUGGUCGCAUGGCCUGGUGGGGGAAAGCUUUUGCGGUGUGGGAUGGGCCCGCGGCCUAUCAGCUUGUUGGUGGGGUGAUGGCCUACCAAGGCGACGACGGGUAGCCGGCCUGAGAGGGUGUCCGGCCACACUGGGACUGAGAUACGGCCCAGACUCCUACGGGAGGCAGCAGUGGGGAAUAUCGCACAAUGGGCGCAAGCCUGAUGCAGCGACGCCGCGUGAGGGAUGACGGCCUUCGGGUUGUAAACCUCUUUCAGUACAGACGAAGCGUAAGUGACGGUAUGUACAGAAGAAGCACCGGCCAACUACGUGCCAGCAGCCGCGGUAAUACGUAGGGUGCGAGCGUUGCCCGGAAUUACUGGGCGUAAAGAGCUCGUAGGUGGUUUGUCGCGUUGUUCGUGAAAACCGGGGGCUUAACCCUCGGCGUGCGGGCGAUACGGGCAGACUUGAGUACUGCAGGGGAGACUGGAAUUCCUGGUGUAGCGGUGGAAUGCGCAGA
rnacentral:rRNA from 1 species